GCCUCAGUAGCACAGUGGCAGUGCGCCUGUCUCGUAAACAGGAGGUCGAGGGUUCAAAUCCCUUCUGAGGCU
rnacentral:tRNA from 1 species